rnacentral:rRNA from 1 species
UGGGGAAUAUUGCACAAUGGGCGAAAGCCUGAUGCAGCAACGCCGCGUGAGUGAUGAAGGUCUUCGGAUUGUAAAGCUCUGUCUUUUGGGACGAUAAUGACGGUACCAAAGGAGGAAGCCACGGCUAACUACGUGCCAGCAGCCGCGGUAAUACGUAGGUGGCGAGCGUUGUCCGGAUUUACUGGGCGUAAAGGGUGCGUAGGCGGAUGUUUAAGUGAGAUGUGAAAUACCCGGGCUUAACUUGGGUGCUGCAUUUCAAACUGGAUAUCUAGAGUGCAGGAGAGGAGAAUGGAAUUCCUAGUGUAGCGGUGAAAUGCGUAGAGAUUAGGAAGAACACCAGUGGCGAAGGCGAUUCUCUGGACUGUAACUGACGCUGAGGCACGAAAAGCGUGGGUAGCAAACAGGAUUAGAUACCCUGGUAGUCCACGCCGUAAACGAUGAGUACUAGGUGUAGGAGGUAUCGACCCCUUCUGUGCCGCAGUAAAACACAUUAAGUACUCCGCCU